GUGGGGAAUAUUGGACAAUGGGGGGAACCCUGAUCCAGCCAUGCCGCGUGUGUGAAGAAGGCCUUUUGGUUGUAAAGCACUUUAAGCGAGGAGGAGGCUACCGAGAUUAAUACUCUUGGAUAGUGGACGUUACUCGCAGAAUAAGCACCGGCUAACUCUGUGCCAGCAGCCGCGGUAAUACAGAGGGUGCGAGCGUUAAUCGGAUUUACUGGGCGUAAAGCGUGCGUAGGCGGCUUUUUAAGUCGGAUGUGAAAUCCCCGAGCUUAACUUAGGAAUUGCAUUCGAUACUGGAAAGCUAGAGUAUGGGAGAGGAUGGUAGAAUUCCAGGUGUAGCGGUGAAAUGCGUAGAGAUCUGGAGGAAUACCGAUGGCGAAGGCAGCCAUCUGGCCUAAUACUGACGCUGAGGUACGAAAGCAUGGGGAGCAAACAGGAUUAGAUACCCCGGUAGUCC
rnacentral:rRNA from 1 species